AGGGUGUAAACGCUGCAGACUUGGUGUUGGGAACCCUUCGGGGUGCUCAGUGCCGGAGAGAAGUUGUUAAGUCUGCUACUUGGGGAGUACGUCCGCAAGGAUGAAACUUAAAGGAAUUGGCGGGGGAGCACCGCAACGGGAGGAGCGUGCGGUUUAAUUGGAUUCAACACCGUAAAACUCACCAGGGAAGACUGUUACAUGAAGGCCGAGAUGAAGACUCUGCUAGAUUUUUCAGAGAGGUGGUGCAUGGCGUAGACGUCU
rnacentral:rRNA from 1 species